GUGUCAGCCGCCGCGGUAAUACGGAGGGAGCAAGCGUUACUCGGAAUUAUUGGGCGUAAAGGGCGCGUAGGCGAUCUGACAAGUCUGGUGUGAAAGCCCACAUGUUAACUGUGGAAGUGCAUUAGAAACUGUUGGAUUUGAGUUCAGGAGAGGAAGGCAGAAUUCCCGGUGUAGCGGUGAAAUGCGUAGAGAUCGGGAGGAAUACCAGUGGCGAAGGCGGCCUUCUGGACUGACACUGACGCUGAGGCGCGAAAGCCAGGGGAGCAAACGGGAUUAGAUACCCCCGUAGUCC
rnacentral:rRNA from 1 species